rnacentral:rRNA from 1 species
GAUGAACGCUGGCGGCGUGCCUAAUACAUGCAAGUCGAACGCAUCCCGUUAAAUGAAGUGCUUGCACGGAUUUUAACAUUGGAUGAGUGGCGAACUGGUGAGUAACACGUGGGUAACCUGCCCAGAAGCAGGGGAUAACACUUGGAAACAGGUGCUAAUACCGUAUAACAACAAAACCGACAUGGUUUUUGGUUUUGUAAAGGUAGGUUUCGGGUCGUAUCACUUCUUGGAGUGGACCCGGCCGGCGGUA